rnacentral:rRNA from 1 species
ACUGAGGAUAAUACUGGAUAGGCAAUUAUUCCUGGAAUGGUUUUUUGUUUAAAUGUUUUUUCGCCUAAGGAUGGGUCUGCGGCCGAUUAGGUAGUUGGUUAGGUAACGGCUUACCAAGCCAUUGAUCGGUACGGGUUGUGAGAGCAAGAGCCCGGAGAUGGAACCUGAGACAAGGUUCCAGGCCCUACGGGGUGCAGCAGGCGCGAAACCUCCGCAAUGUGAGAAAUCGCGACGGGGGGAUCCCAAGUGCCAUUCUUAACGGGAUGGCUUUUCAUUAGUGUAAAGAGCUUUUGGAAUAAGGGCUGGGCAAGACCGGUGCCAGCCGCCGCGGUAACACCGGCAGCUCUAGUGGUAGCAGUUUUUAUUGGGCCUAAAGCGUCCGUAGCCGGUUUAAUAAGUCUCUGGUGAAAUCCUGUAGCUUAACUGUGGGAAUUGCUGGAGAUACUAUUAGACUUGAGACCGGGAGAGGUUAGAGGUACUCCCAGGGUAGAGGUGAAAUUCUGUAAUCCUGGGAGGACCGCCUGUUGCGAAGGCGUCUAACUGGAACGGUUCUGACGGUGAGGGACGAAAGUUAGGGGCGCGAACCGGAUUAGAUACCCGGGUAGUCCUAACCGUAAACGAUGCGGACUUGGUGUUGGGGUGGCUUUGAGCUGCUCCAGUGCCGAAGGGAAGCUGUUAAGUCCGCCGCCUGGGAAGUACGGUCGCAAGACUGAAACUUAA